rnacentral:rRNA from 1 species
UACGAAGGUGGCAAGCGUUGUUCGGAUUUACUGGGCGUACAGGGAGCGUAGGCGGUUGGAUAAGCCCUCCGUGAAAUCUCCAGGCUUAACCUGGAAAGUGCAGAGGGGACUGUUCAGCUAGAGGAUGGGAGAGGAGCGCGGAAUUCCCGGUGUAGCGGUGAAAUGCGUAGAGAUCAGGAAGAACAUCGGUGGCGAAGGCGCUCUGCUGGACCAUAACUGACACUCAGGGACGAAAGCUAGGGGAGCGAAUGGG